rnacentral:lncRNA from 1 species
GUACGUGAAAAUGGAGUAAAUACGAAAUACCCAUUCUUUCCUUUUAAUUACUCUUCGUUCUCUCUCUAAGUAUUUUGGCCUUUUGGAGGGUGAGGGUCCUUGAUCUGUAUACCAUGGCCGCCACCAUUGGACUUCCGAGAGAGAGAGAGGUGGACUCCAGGGUCAUGGAGGGUGGAGGAACAAUUGUACAGAUUCGAUCGCGUGACACCCUGAACGUUGCUGUUCAUUAUUGCAUUCAUUGGCGUUGAAGAAACUGCCCUUGUUUUUCUGAUUUUUGCUGCUUUCGCUUCCCAUUUUCUCACCAUCGCUC